UACGUAGGUGGCAAGCGUUGUCCGGAUUUAUUGGGUUUAAAGGGUGCGUAGGCGGCCUAUUAAGUCAGUGCUGAAAUAUCCCGGCUUAACCGGGAGGGUGGCAUUGAUACUGAUGGGCUUGAGUAAAGUUAAGGUAGGCGGAAUUGACGGUGUAGCGGUGAAAUGCUUAGAUAUCGUCAAGAACACCUAUUGCGAAGGCAGCUUACUAAGCUUUAACUGACGCUGAUGCACGAAAGUGUGGGGAUCAAACAGG
rnacentral:rRNA from 1 species